rnacentral:tRNA from 4 species
GAAAUUUAUAGUAAGAUGAAAAUCCGUUGACUUUUAAAAUCGUGAGGGUU